rnacentral:sRNA from 1 species
UUAUCUCCUUAGGUUAUUUGUUUAGUCACUUUUAAUUAUAGAGAUAAUUGCGUUUUUUU